GGAGACUUCUGUGUUCCUGAGGUCUUUUGAAGUCUGGGAUCUUGCUGCACUGCUGUGUUUUCCAUUAUGUUGUGCUACUAGUUGGUUGAGGAAAUGAAGGUGAAGAUGCUUGCAGGAAGGUAGAGAGGGCCUGCUCAGUGGAUGUGCUCAGGGGUUAUGAAGAGUUUCUGCAGAGUUCAAAGCCUAGACUGAUAAACUGCUAGAGAAGUGAAGAAGAGUAAUUUGGGAACAGUUGAUCUGUAAGCUUUGGGAUGAGAGGAAGGGGUUGAAACAGAAGAAAAGAGCUGGAGAAAAAAAAGUCUCAUGGUAUUUCUCUUGAAAUCAUCCAUGAAAGUUCAGUUCUGAAAGAGAUACGUAAACAAGUGGAGAGAAGAGCAUGACCAGAAGGUAGGCUAGCUUCUAGGAGAAGUAAGUAUAAUUUGAACGCUACUCUGAUUCAGUAGGAGACUUGAAGUAGAGGGUAACAUUUCUGGUAGAGAGUGAUGUCUGUAAAGAACGAAGUGGGUGGCAUUUCUGAUGAGAGCGAACACAGCCUGCAGGCUGGCUUUAAAACAUGACCAUCAGGAGGGAUGGAAGCCUAGCUGAUAUUGGUUGAAGGGAGGGAAGGAGAGUGUCUUGUUGGAGACUGGCUCCACUCAUCUGUGAAGACCUGUCACCACCCCUUGCCACUGCUGGGUCCUUAAAGCUCAGGAAACUUUCUCAAGUUACUAUUAACUCCUCCCAAGCUUUUCCUUUUCUUUCUUACUGUACCUUCACAUUUACUCAGAUUCUCCAGUAGUCUUCUACUCAGUCCUAAGUUUCUUCUGUGCUGACAAUAAUAUACAUUGUGUGUGGUAUGAAACGCUUGACAAGCCUACUGUUUACAGAGCACAGAGUCCAUCACCCUCCCUUCCCAGCUCGUUAAACCUAAACCUAAGGACAGUCUUUAACCAAAGCCUUUGGUCUGUGCCAGAGCCUCAGAGAAGUUCAGAUCCAGCUUCACACUUCACAGCUCUGGCACCAGAGCCAGGCCAACACCCCUCUUCCCCUGAACCUCUGCGGUAAAACCCCGAUCCAACAUUUCCAGAUGGUGCCACUCUGCCUAAGGGCUCUGGCUGGACAUAGGUUCUAAGAGCAGAGUUAAAGUGCAAGCUUUUGAUUAAAGCAGUUACCCUGAUUCCCCUUCUGUAUGACUCUUUGCGAGCCAUUGGGAGGGGUCUGAUGAGAACAUGUGUGUCUGAAGCACUUGCUGUAGGAAGACGAUUGUCAAGAUGAGACUUGGAAGCAAUUUCUGGAAGCUGAGGGAAUAAAUUUCAUGGAGAUUUGCCUUCCUCAACUAGCAACUGUAGCACUAUGCCAUUGAAAAACCAUUGAGGGAGGGAAGCUGGCAAAGAAGAGAUUUAAAACAGGUCUUUAAGAGCAGCGUGAAACUGAAGAGUUGCACAUCAUACGCUGGUUAAAAGCAGAAGGUCUGGGUCUGCUGUGCAGGUGUCACGAGUAAUUAUUUCCAGUAACUUAUUGAGAAACACUUUAGAUGUUUUGACUACAAAGUGUAAAGAGCUCUGCCAGAAAACUCCGACACUGAAGAGGUGGAGGGAGAGGCAGGAAAAAAGAGAGACAGUAGAAAUAGGAGAAAACACACAGUACAUUUACAUUCUAGUGAAGCGUUGCCUUUAACUAGUCUGGAGUCUGCCAGGACUGAUGACCUUUAUGGGCUGCCCUGAAUUCACUGGAGCCAAAGAGUACCAUGCCUUCAACAAGCAGUAAGCUGAGUUAUAAAAAACAUGGUUUAAAUUUGAUAGUUAUCGUCACGUUUGCUGCUGGAUUUGGAAGUGGAUGAUGCUCAGUGUUCUGAGUGGCUUGUAUCUGGAGUCUUUGCUCCGAAGUUGCUGAGUCUCCUGGUUUAUGUUUGUCGUUGGUAAAGCUGACCAUUCCUAGCAUCCUGGUGGAUGGGUCUGGAUGGUCUGAAAGAAUCCACCCUACCCCAUUGUAGGACCAGCCUUUCCUAAACCAAACAGGACUGACGUGACUCUUGCUGCCUCUCCAGAGCCUGCAUCUCUCCCCACCAUCUCUCCUACAGUGUUUCACAGACUACCUGGACAGAACUGUUCAGUGCUAAAAUGCCAACCCAUGCUGAAGAAUGGCUAACCUGGAGGAACAACCCCAAAUCUUCCUUAAGCAUCCCAUAAGUGAAGGCAAAAGGCUUUGUCUCAAAAUACCAGUUUGAUUCUUCUCCCAGCUCUAGUGCAUCUUUUCAACCAUCCAACUGAGAGAGAAAGAAGUGGAAAAACCCUGAGACCUCAUUAGUCAGGCAGUUUGCUUACCCAGGUGACUAAGGGCCUCUUUAUCCCAUGGCCAAGUGGCAGCACCAGCCAGCUCUUCCCUCACCGAGCUGGCAAAGUAAAUGUUGAGGAAGUGGGUGCUGUUCAGCUGCAGUGCCUCCUUCAGCUCCUUCACGCUCAUGUAUGCCCUGUAAGGACAAGGGAGAGCAGACAGUCAGCAAACAUAUCAAUGUGGCAAAGAGGACAAGCAAGAGCAGCCCAUAGUUGAGCUGGAAAAGGUUAGUGCUGAGGUUGGGUUGGAUGCAGUCAUGCAAAUCCAAAGAAUUGUUGCUAGUGUUUCUAAUCUGUUCAUAGGAUUUCACAACCGUGGGUCUUGGUUCUACCUAUUUCCUCCAGGCAAUUGGUAUGUGGGUGGUAAAGAAUAGGGAAUCCCUGCAGUGUGUGCUGCAUCAAAGGGAGUGCAGCCUCACCACCAUGCCUGCAUGUUGCACAAGAAGGCAGAGUAUGAACAACGUUUUGCUCUUCCAGCUCUGCUCAAAAUGGAGCACGGCUUGAUGUUGGAGAAAUUCCCUCUGAGUAGGAUGGGCUGCGAUGGCUGUGGGAGAGAAGUUUAGGAGCUCUGAAAUAAGGGAGAGGGAAGCAGAUUUGGAUACAGCUCCACCAAAGGGCUUGUUUAGUGGGGGAACCUCAUGGUAAUGCUGCUGACUAUCUCUUCUCCAGUCUCCAAAUUGGGGCUAGACAGUUACUGGAAUCAAAAAACAACUUAGAACAGGGAUAUCCAAGACAUCCAUUUCUUAGGGGCACAAGAAGGUGGUGAACUGGAAGAGGUGAGAAACAUUGCACCCAUCCUACAGCAAACAGCAGAGCAGUAGAUCUCAUGGGUGCUGGAGCAUCUCCAAAAUGAUCCUCACUGCAUCUGCAGGGCUGGCAUGUCUCAGUGCUUGGAGAAUGCAUGGUAGUCAGGAAGUUCAGGUUUUGCUCUCCCAUCUGUGGGGUGCUUUUUGCAUAGGUCAGAGAUCUAUUCUGCAUUAACUGGUAUACCAACAGUGUUGAUCUUUAGAGUUCAUGUCCUUAGCUGUGUAAAAGGAUUAGGAUCGAACUUAAUAAUAAUAACAACAAUUCCAAUAAAAAUAGUAGUGGGAUUGUAGGGCCUUGGGCUCUGCUGCAAGUGCCAGGUGCUCUUUUAAGUUAACUACUAGUGUUUCCACUAUCGGUGCCAUGAACCCCGUGAGCUGAGACAGCACUGGGACAGGUAUCCCUAGACACUGCCGCUGUGUCUUCAAAAUCUGAGGAGCCUGACCCCACAGUUCAUGAAGCCAAGGGGAAAGCUGCAUUAACUUAAGAGAUCCUGAGGGGAAAGAAAACACGUGGAAAGGCUUCAAAUAGAUCACUGUGGAAUGAUGAUGGAAAUGCACCGUUGUGGAAAUAUGUCAUAAGAAUGACUAAAUCCCCAGCAUAAGGCCAACAGCAACAUUAAGGUGGUGAAAAGCAUUUCACUUAUUCCCAUGCUUCCAGGAGCAAUUGGCAUCCUCGAGCUCCAUGGAGCGAUCACGAAGGGAAUGCAACUGUUUCUUUACACUGGACCAGCCAUGAAGGUUCACCGGCUGUGUUUGAACUAGCAGCUUCUGUAAAAGUGGUAUCCAUUAGAGCAUUCCUCACCACGCUGAACUGUGGAAGAGGGAACUUAAAGUUAAACAUGGGCUAAGAGGAAAAAGGCACGUUCUUGUCCAAGAUGUGAAAUGAGAAGGGAAACCAGCAAAACAAAAAAAAGUGCAAAUACGCUGUUUGAAAUGGCAAGAUCCCUAGUGAAAUUAUUAUACCAACAGGCUUGUUUAGAAAGAGAGAGGUUGCUACAGCAGAUGGAAGAAAAGGAGGAAAAAGUGAACUGAAAACUUAGAUGAACGAGAUUUCAAAAGCACACUGGAGCAGGAUGACAUGAGGAAAAUGUAGCACAUCAAACCCAGUGUGACCAUCUCCCUGGAGCUGAAAUAGCACAGGUUUUCAGAAGUCACUACCAACUUGGUGAGUAUCACACAAUUGGAAUCUGCUGACUACGUUCCCCAUACCUGCCAUCCUGUCCUGGGCAUCUCAACUACCUUCCCUGUGACAAAGCAGUUCCAAAACAUCAGCCGUUUAUAGCUGAAGCAUAAGGCAGUAUUUAACAGUGGGAUGAGAUGACCAUCUCUUCAUCACCAGGCCCUGAGAUCUCCUACCACAAAGAAGCAUUCCCAGCACGUUUUCCCUAGGCACAUCAGCUUGUGGAAAGAAAAACUCUCCCAACCGGAAACAGCAAAUUAGGAUAACAUGAUCUCUUAUUUGUGAUGUCUCGCCUGAGCAUCCCAGACACGCGCCACGCUGACGCCAUCUCUGCAACCCAACCAAGAUGGGAGCAGGCUGGGAGGAACAGAUAGGGAGAAGAAUAAAUAAACCUGAAGAACAUAUUUGUGGCAUGACUCGGAAGGAAGAAAAGCAAAAAAAAAAUUCAUAGAAAUAGAGUACAAGGAGGGGAGAAAAAGCCUUUCUUAUGUACCAGAGCUGCUCGGGGGACGCAGAAUUAAAAAUAAUGUUGAUUCCUGACCUAUGAUAUCUUGGAAAAAUAGCCCCAAACCCUUCCAGGCUGUCCAAAUUCCGAGAGCUAACGUCAGCCCUAUUCAGAGGGAUAUUCCCGCUGCCUCUCUUCUGGAGACAUCAUGUUUUUCUGGCUGUCGCCUGCCGUUCCCUUGACACUAGCAACAUUUUUUGGUCAACCCUUAAUUAUAAAUAACUAAUUUCCUCCAUUGAAAGAUUGGGAUGGUUCAGAGUGUUGUGUUAAGGGUAGGGGGAGCAGUUCUAGCAUGGAGGUGUUCAGAGGGAUUGGAUGGAGGAGGAGAGGAAGAGACCCCAGUUUCAUCCACCAUGGCAAGGAAAGCAACACAUCCUUCCAGCAUCCCCGAAGACGUGAGCAAGACCAAAACAACUCUAGAAAAGGCAGCUCUGAUUCCCCUCAAACCCUCUUUUCCAUUGGCAUUCUUAGCUGAGACAAGGAGCAUGCAACUGGCGUCUUUGCCUGUCACUAACUGCCAAGGUCAUGCUCUCCCUUCUUUUCGGCGCUUCUGUGAUUUUCCCUGGGGAUGGCAGAGAAGCUUUUGGUCUCCAUGAAAGAACCAAGUAACAGACAUCUCUGCUCCCCAGAUAGCUUCCCAGCUCCUUCAGGAUCAGAGAAUUCCAAACUAGAUGGUAUUUAGGGCACAGUGGGUGUUGCAAACCGAUGCACAAGCACAGGGAAAGACAGAAGGAUAUGUGUGGGGGGGAAAUGAGGAAAAAAAACCCACCCAAGAAAUAACACCCUCUCUACACAGAGAAUAAAGGUGAGGACAGAAAAGAGGCAUAAAAAGGUCUUUGGUUUUGCAGAUGUUUCUCUAAGAACAGAAAUAGACUCAGAGGUGAGCAACUAGAUGCAUGGCAGAGCCAUUUGAGCCUGGGUAGUACGUGCACCCCUGGGAGAGUGUAGCUUGCAAGAAGAAUAUUUGCAAAAGUGGUUGGAGAAUAAGGUAGGAAGGAUCAUGAGCUGUCAUUAUUAGUAUGGAGUAUAGGCAUGAACACCAUUUGGAAUGAUGAUGUUUGAAGGAGUGAAUCCAGACGUGAGGGCUUCCAUCAUGCCAGUACUCACCUAUGGCACAGGUAACCGAAUGAUGCUAGUGAGUAAUCUGACUGCAAGGUGGGCUUAGGUACCAUGUGAAUGCUUCUCAGACUCAUGGCUGCUGGAAAAGCAGGAUAGGAAGCCUAGAUCUUGUACUGUUCAACAGUACAGUGGGGCAGCCCUGAUGCGUCUGUGGUCAUAGUAAUGGGUCAGGAACAUGUGACUGUGUAUGGAACAAGAUGUACUGUUUCUGUGUGAAAUUUCAGGCAAUUAUUAAAGGAGAUGAAAACAGGAAGUCCAGCAGCUUCCAUGAUCAUCUUCAAAGAGGUGUGGAUUCAGAGACUUACAAACUGCAGCUGGACAGGACUUCCACAGGUCAUGUUGUCUGACCUCUUAAGGUACAAAGCUUAUUACAACAAGUUGCCCAGGGCCAUGCCCAGCUGAAACCUGAACAGCUCCAAGGACAGAGGUUUCACUACCUCUCUUGGCAACCUACUCCACUAAUUAGUUGCUUUCAUGGAGGAAAAAAAAAUAAUCCUAACACCUAAUCUAAUUACUUGAUGUUCUGAUUAAGGCUUGAAGACCCAAAGAUUCCAUUCUAAGCAGCUGAAAAGUCAUACUUUGUUCCAAGCCUCCAAGGAAAGCCUUCACAUCCUUUCUCGUGUGUUUACUUGCACCGUUUUUUUCCUAAUCCAUGGGGAAGACAGCAUCUUUCUACUCACGGUUGUAAGUCAAGGUCUGUGUUGACUUAGCCAAUAGAGAAGACCUGGUGUUCUUCUGCAAGCAGCAAUUUCUGGCAAAGAUAGUAGGAAUGCUGGUGGUGCAGAGUUGGGAAAGAGAAAAAGAUCUGGUAAUCUACUGGGUGGUAGAAUGGGCAACCAAACCAAGCCUGAUUUUGUUGAAGUUGAGAGAAGAGAAGCAAGAGCAGCAAAAAGUCUUGGUGCCAUAAAAAUGGCCAUUACCAAGGAAAGGCAAAAGAUGGCACUUCUGAAUGAAAAAGCAAGACCAACGUGUACCACACAACACCAUAAAUCAAACUGAAUUCUCUGGGUAUUGCAGAGGAUACAGUGUGUAAUGCCACAGGAAUUCCACUGCAAUGCAAAAAUAGAAGUCUUUUCCCUGUAGGCUUUUCAGAAGGGAUGUGGGAGUGGGGAUGAAUGGAAAUUGUCCAAGUGCCCUCCAUGGACAGCUGGAAAAUACUUGAGACACAGCCAGCUCCAAGCUAACCAUCCAGCCUAAUGAAGUCACAGGGGAUUCUGCUUUCAUGUCUCUCAUCCACCGCAAGGAAAUUCCUACUCCUGCCAAGCAGGGAGGAUCCUUUCUUUCCCCAAACCUCUUCUUGACAAACGAGGAAUCCCUCAGACUUCCCAGGAACACGAACCAGCCUGCCAGUAACUUGUGCUGACAGCAUGCUCCCCCAGGGCUGCAAAGGGUUAAUGCAAGAUGUUAAAGACAAAAAGCCAUGACUCAGUCCAUGAAGACAGGUGCUGAACUAAGUGGCAUGAAUAUCAUCAGAGGGCAGACUUGGAAUUCUCCAUCUUGUCCAUGAAGAGAUGCUCCUCCAGAUGAUGAGCCAAAGCAAAGAUAUUCCAUUCACCCCUGCAAUGCCUCUCCCUCCAUGGCAACUCCACAAGGAGUCUAAAAAGGUUUGCUACUGAACUCAGGCUUGCGUACACAAAUCUUCCCAGGAUUUGGGAAUCCUCAUUCCUAUUUCCCAGCACAGGAACUCCCAGGUGAUAUGUAACCAGAAGUCUUCCUGCACUUGUUAAGACUCUUCAACUCCCUCUUCAACCACAAACUUUUGUGCUCUGAUUCCAGCUCAGAACUAUGCUGCCAUGUCACAAGCAUCACUGCUGGCAUCAUGCAGCUUAAGAAGGCAGCUCAGUCAUCUGGGCAUCUAACAGCACAGGCAGACAUGAAACUUGUCAAAGAGAAGCUGGAGGAACAGGCAGAUCACUCCCUGGGCUAACAGGAGGCACAGCACCACUGGCGGGAUGCCCUCUGUAAUCCUUGGGAGUCCUUCAUCAGCUUUGCUGUGUGUUGGACUUCAGCCCAAGAAUCCAAAGCCAUUUGGGUGUGCAGAGGACAAGAGCAUCUCAUCAUGUCUUGGGUUUGCCUGAGAAGACCAACCCUGAGGCACUGAUACUGUUGGUCAAAGAGCAGCAGGGAGCAGCCAUCACUAGCAGCAUUGUAUGAGAGACAGUUCAAACUUAUCAUCAAGGUUUGGAUAUCCAAAUGUCAGCAAGGAUGGCACACCAAAAUGCUCCUAUGAGAGAGCUGUGGGGUUCAGGGUUUCCUUCCCCAAGAGAAAUUCCUGUUGCAGUCAGAAGGAAACCUCAGUCUCUGUGUGGGAUGUGGAUUUGGCUUUGGGACUGAAAAAGCAGCAGCAGAUGCUGCAGAGGUAGAGCUGUACCAGCAUAGCUGCAGACAAUGGUUGUGGUUUGAGACUGUGCCCCUUCCAUGCAGAUGUACUGAGCACAGAGAGCAGAAGGCUGUGGACCAUAGCACACAGCAGACCCACUGCCAGCUACAUCAGAUGGGAGCAUGUAACUUCCUGAGGUCAGAUUUGGGUGAAAGGGAACAAUACCAUCAGUGUCAGAUUAGGAAGCCCUGCAGGGCACUUUGCCCUGAGAUAGGCUGAAGAAUAAAUGCUGCUCGCAACAUCAUGGUCCAGUUAUUCCUGGAAGUGCUCACUAACAAAAUUCUUUAGUAAAUCAUCACCGCACCAGCAGGAGCCAAUACUAUUUUAGACUGGGUUUUGGUAAGCAGUGUAAGGAUUAUGAAAGAGCUGAUGAAAGAAAGAAAACUUGUCCUGAACUAAUUAUGGCUUGAUUGAGAUUAAUUUAGACAGAGGAAUAAAGAAAGUCCUUGAACUAAGAAUGGUAAAAACAGGACAAAGCAGCAGGCAUUGCUGCAUCGGAGAGGCUAGGAGUACAGGGUGGAAUGGGAAUUCCCUGAAGUCAGGCUGACUCCAGUGAAAACAAAGAGCAAAAGGCCCUUUCAGAAAUAAGAAAAGCGAUAGAAGAAAUGAAGAGGUCUGCUGAGCAGGGAAGAUGGGGCUGAAGAUCAGUUUAAUUGAGAUUAAACUGCAGAAAUCAAAGUGUUCACAGAUAAAACUUGGUGGAUAUUUGCAGUGGGAAGCUGAAGAAGUGCCACCCUGAAUCCAGAAGGGCUGACACAGGGCAUGUGACUGGAGAAUAGCCAUUGCAAUGCAUCAUUGAUGUCUGCAAGGGUGAAUGAAGAUCACAAUGAGGUAGGCUGAUCCAGUUAUCUUUGUGCUGACAGACCUUAAAUCCACCUGCAAAUCUCAGUAGACUUUCUGCUUUCUAAGUCUCUGUGUCUUUACUUCCACCCUCCACCCUACUUCCCAAAAAAUAAUGGAAAUAGAUGGUUGGAUGGAGCUGAGAGACUGUACUUGAGCCAUCUCUGAAGGACAGGAUAGCAUUCACACCCUAUUAGGAAUUCAAGAGGAAACCAAGCAAACCUGAUCUGAAGGGGAAGAGCUCUCCAUAGAGAUUCGUUGAAAAACAGCUAUUCCAUGAGGUUCAAGUCCAUCCUGCACUGCAGAAAGCACCAGAAAUAGACAGCAAUGGUCCCAAAGGCUCAUGGGGCCAUGAUGGGCGAUACAGAAGCCAUUUUAUUAUGAGCCCUAUCAGCGGCAUGGCACAGGCAAGAAACUUCACAGCAUUGCCUCUGGAUGUCUACACCUUCUCACAGGGAUGGGAACAUGCACAUUCUCCUUCAUCUCCUUCAAAUUUAAUUCCUCUAAGCUGAUGAACACACAGUGCCUCCUCCGCUUUCAACCCAAGUCCAUUCAACUUCACUUUGUUGCUGGAGAGGAAGGGUCAUCCUUUGUCAUGACCAGAGCUGUUGCCCUCCAAAGCUGAGCACAGGGACAUGCUAAGUCUGUGCUUUGUGGUGGCCUUAGGACUUGCACAGUCCUGCUUUCUGCACCUCAUUUUCAAGACCCUGGGCACCGUCCUUCCAUCUCAAGCCACUUCUCAGGCGAAACAAACUGCAGAGAUCUCCUGCAGUCUCACCAUGUUUGCAUCUCUGUAGCUAACUUUAGGGUCCAUCGCAUCAGCAGCCCUAAAGGGCUUACAGGAGCAUGGAGAAGAGGACUUGGAAGAAGGACAUCCUUAUCUUUGUAAGGUAACCUUCCUAACAGUUUUCCCUCAUACAGCCUCCAAGUGCAUGACACACAUGUGUGCACUGUAAUAUACAAUAUGGAAAAUCCUGUUCUACCAAGAACAGACCCACAAAUUCCUAACUUCUUCCAGCAUUUCAACCCUGAAGCAUCAUUUGCUUCUGCCAAACAACCAAAGCCUACACACACUUGAAAGUUAAUAUAAAAUAAGCCAAAUGUUUCCCAAAAAGCUCCCACGGGUGUCUGGCUUUGAGCUUGUGCUAAAGCUACCGAUUCACCCCACGAACCUUCCUCUUUACCCCCUUAGGGAAGACUAACACACACAAGUCCCAUAAACUUCCUGGCUUAUGUGACAAUUCUUGUGUUGCUUAAGUAUGAUGGACCAUCAACUUUCCCCUGGGAUAAAUUUGUCCCAGCAAUCUGUGUUUUAGUGCUCUACAUCUUGAGGGAGUUGAUAGCAUUUGGGAUUUAUUUUAAUGGGAGUUGGUAGCUGUGAUCAAUUGUAGAAGCUCUAUUUCCAUGGAAAUGGGUAUUUAAUAGAUUUUUGAAAAUGGUAGUUAUUGACCCAAUGGGCCUUAAUGGCUUAAAACCCAUCUGAUUGUAGUAUGUAAGAGUAAAUGCAUAUGAUUUUCAAAUUAAUACUGGAAUAGGUAGUAAAAACCCUUUUAAAUUGCAGGGACGUGGUCAAUAGGGAGUUUCCAUUUGCUUGUUUGGCCUUUCUAUUUCUAUCAGCAUGAAUCACGGCCAUCUCUUCCUCAAAGAGACUUUCAAUUUCCUCACAAGUGAGAUCAUCUUAAAACGUUCAACACAUCUGAGCCCCAUCAAGGUAGGACAUCUUUCAUUAGGGAAGAGCCAGGCUUUCAGAAUGGCUGGCCUCUUGUGGUGGGAGCAGAGGACAUGUGGAACAUUUCAUCCUCCCUGGCCACAAUCACUGUCCCUUGCUUCCAGCAAGAGAUAAAAGUCAAAUGACUCCUGAGAUUCAGCUCAACCUAUGGGUUCUCACUUGAAGAUCAGAUGCUCAAAGUUCCAUGUAGAAAACUUGGUUCAUUUGGAAGUUAGCAUAUCCCAAAAGUAUGGGACAGUGAAGGAGUGAACUGUAAAGGAACUCAAAACCCACAAGGUGAGACAUGGAUUUAAGGCUUUUCCAGCCCCUGCUGAUAGGACCCUGCUGAGCUGGACUUUCCACCUGUGUCCUGUGUUGACCCUCCACUUGCAGCAGGCAUGAAGAAUGCUCAGUUGGCUGUGUUGUGUUGGCUUCUAGAGAACCACCUUCCUCCACUGUCUUGGCCAUCUGAAAGAGCACAGACCUACCAAGUGAAAAAGCCCCUACAGACCUACCAGGGCUGCAAGAGGACUGGUCCCUGGGAAGAAGAGUGAAGCUGACAUCAUGGGAUGUCAUUACCUCCAAACCCAGGUAAACAGCGCUGGGAGCAUGGGGGGAGUUAAUGGGAAGAAUGUGGGAGAAGCAGAGCAAGAGACCCAGAUCAGGAACAGGUGGGGAAGGCAAGGGCCUUGCAGAGAGCACAGCAGCAGCUCAGCCAGGCCAGGAGCCCAGCAUCUUUGCACAUGGAUCUGCUCCAAGUCCCAGCACGGGCAGCAGCGUGGCUCCAGCACACGCCAGCAGAUCUUGGAAAGCCCGGCUGUCCCCCGCCUGGCUGAGCACCCGCUGCCUUUUCCCGGUGUUGAUGCUGGCUGCUGAGCCACCCGCGUUACACAGAACACGUGUGAAGGAACAUGUUUGCAGCCCCUUGCGGUUUUGCAAGGCAGAACUCAACAGUGGCAAGUUAUUGUAGAGCAGGCUCCAAGCUAAACAAAGCCAGGUAUGGUUCGGUUUCUGCCUCAGUUGUUUGUUUCAAAGAAAAAUAGAAAAUUUCCCGGGCCAGGACUGAGCCUUGCAGUGCUCUUUCCCUCUCUCAGACAGUACAGAUAAGCUUGGUCCCCAUCUAAACCGCAGGAGAUAUGUUGUAAACCAGCUCUCCCUUCCUUUCUGCCAGUGAAUGAAGUAGCAGUCCAGGUGCAGGGGGCUGUCAACACUGCAUUGCCGCACAAGAUGGCUGGGAUUUUGUGCCUCGGUUUCCCCAUCUGGAGAGCUGGAAUUACCCUUCCACACAGCACAGCUCCAGUGUCCGCGGCGCAGCCUGCCAACCCAAACGUGCAUCAAUCAUCCACAAGAGCCCAUCAGCGUGGGGCUGAUGGAGUCCCACCAGCGCGCUGCCAAGCACCCUGCUGGGUCAUUUCCUGGGAUCUCAGCUGCGCACGGAUGGAUGAGUAGAAACCCCAGGGAGUGCUGAAAAGCUGGAAACAGAGUGAGUCGUCCCCCUCCUCUUCCCCAGCCCUUGGACACAUGCUGUUCCUUCACAAUUGUUGUCUGGAUCCGAUCAGCCCCUGGGAUGGUGGUACUGCUAGAACAAUAGCUCACAUCUGGAUGGGUUGUUUUCCCUGAAAGCGUCUGGGCUCCUACAGCUGCUGGGCAGGGACUGCUGCUCCCGCUCACACGCGGAUCGGGUUGUCCUUCUGCACAGUCCCAGCCACCCUGGGGCACUGGGCAGUGUGUGCUGCUCUUCCCUUUGCCAGCCUGAGCUGGAGGUGUUAUGUCCUUCUCACAGCUUGGGGAGAACAAAUGCCUGAAAGCCCUCUGGGAUGCUCAACUCAGCCUGAUGAAUGAUGAAGUUUGGGAGAUCUCUCUCUACCAAGAACCUGGAAGAGAGGCCAAACCAAAGAGACCAGCACAUCCAACUCCUGUAAGAGACAAGGGCAGACAACUGCAUCCCAUGACAGAGAAGGAGCAGCUCUCACAGCAGACGAGAGAUUGGAAGGAAGAAAUAGGACAUCUAACCAAACAAAAUACAUCCCACAGCUGAGGUGAGCAGCCCCCCAGCAGUACCUGGGAGUGACGUGAGUGCAGACACACUGCAGGGCUCAGGAAGUCACACUGACUAAGAGUGGAGCCCAUCUUCUUAGCACUCCCUCUCAGAGUUCACUGCUCCUCAGAACACAACUCUACUCUUGGGUUCAUCUUUGGCACAGUGCAUCAGAUGCAAAGGAUGUGUUGCAUACCAUCACCUGAUGUAUUUGGGCUGAGAGGGUCAAAAGUAAAUUUGGGGUCUUUGACCCAAACCAGGACUCUGGGUGGACUGGCUCUCUGUCACAGUAUGAAGAAGCACCUCAAUGGACAUCCUGUCCUCAGGAUACAACAACCAAGGACAAUCCCAUCCAUCUUUGCCAAGUUUUGAAAUUAGUAAUCAAUGGGAAGAGCCCAGAGAGAGUGUGCUUUCCUGCAAGGAAAGGUUCAGCUUUUUAUGAGCUCAGUCCAACCUCUCUCAUGAAACUUUAAAGAACCCACCAAGGAAUCCAUCAAGCUCCAUCAAAAAGCCCUGUUAAUUACCACACCUGCCCAGACCCAGUGGGCCUACCAGCCUGGGGAAGUGGCUACCAGGAGCAGUACUGCUACCUUUGGAUUUCCCUUUGGGGAUCCCAAGAUGCUCCUCUCCUCACCACAGUGCUUACAGCUCCCAGACCUGAGCCCAGCACUUGGCUUAGGCUUUCUGUAGCAAGGAGAGUUGCUGAGUGAUAGUUUAUCCUUAGGUCCUGUGCACAAGAGACACUCAGUGAGGUUAAUCUGGAUUAGUGUUUGAAGAAACUGCUUAAACAGUGGGAGGCUUCCCAACAACCCUAACCCAAUUAAGCAUCUCUCCCUGAGGAAGGCAGGCUGGCUAAGUCUGCAUUAAAGCCCAUCAAGUGUCCUGUUGAUGAGAUAGACCCUAACAUCACAGCUGUGGCCAUCCCAGAGGAGGCAGAACUGAAUUUGCUACUCUGAAAAACAAGAGGUUGGCAAGAAGGAAGGGAAAGUGUGGGGCAGGGAGCAUGUUGGACAGCCCCAUUCAAGCUCUGCCCCACACCUUCCUAGCCCUGCAGCUUUCAGGGCCAUAGCAGAUGCUCUCUGUGCCUGUGGCUGUCCUAAAGGGCAGCACCUCUACCACCAAUUCUUCUGUUUAUUGUGUUAUUUCUGAUCCUUCUGCUGGAACCCACACUGCCCUCCAGUUGCUCUUUUCGCACUCACUGUGUCACACACCAGGCUCACUGAGUUACUGCCCGAGGGGGGACCACACUGAGUGUUAAUUGCUGUUAAUGAGCUGUUGCUGCUUUCCUUCCAAGAGCACCAAUUACAACAACACUCAAACUCUGUAAGAAGAUGAUGUCUGCAGUAAAUGAACACAAAAUUACUCCAGGAUCCUGGCAUUAUACUUCCAGCAACUCGUGGAGGAGU